AACUAUGCUGCUCUCCACUUCGAUGAGAUCAACUUUUUAAAAUUUUACAUGCGAAGCUACAUCUGAUUCCAGUGGGGCUUUGUUAAUGCGAUCCUUUCUCACUGUACCUGUUGCCUGAUGUUCCAUUGAACUGAGCUUAUCAAGAAGUGCAAUACUGGUGAAAAAGUUAUCGAAUACAAAAUGAUAUUGUCCAGGGUGUGUGUAAGUCCCUCACUAAACUUAUGAAUAAGUGAUGCACCAACACCGUAUUCUUCAUAUUUAGUAUUUGGGUUUUUACCCUGAUACGGCUGAAAGCAGCAAAUGUGGCACAGACAUGUGGCACCACAACAAAACUUACAGCCAAACAUAAUGGGCUUUCCCUGAAUAAAUUGUUUGCACCUGUGACAACCA